CAGUCGCCGCGGGAAUACGUAGGGUGCGAGCGUUAAUCGGAUUUACUGGGCGUAAAGCGUGCGCAGGCGGCCCGUUAAGGCAGGUGUGAAAUCCCUGGGCUCAACCUAGGAAUUGCGCUUGUGACUGGCGGGCUCGAGUACGGUAGAGGGGGGUGGAAUUCCUGGUGUAGCUGUGAAAUGCGUAGAGAUCAGGAGGAACACCGAUGGCGAAGGCAGCCCCCUGGGCCUGUACUGACGCACAUGCACGAAAGCGUGGGGAGCAAACAGGAUUAGAUACCCGGGUAGUCCCUGUCUCUUAUAC
rnacentral:rRNA from 1 species